GAUAAGGUUAAGUGAAUAAGGGCGCACGGUGGAUGCCUUGGCACUAGGAGCCGAUGAAGGACGGAACUAACACCGAUAUGCUUUGGGGAGCUGUACGUAAGCUAUGAUCCAGAGAUUUCCGAAUGGGGGAACCCAGCAUCUUUAAUAGGAUGUUACGAUUGUGUGAAUACAUAGCGCAUUCGAGGUAGACGCAGAGAACUGAAACAUCUAAGUACCUGCAGGAAGAGAAAGAAAAUUCGAUUCCCUGAGUAGCGGCGAGCGAAACGGGAAAAGCCCAAACCAGCAAGCUUGCUUGUUGGGGUU
rnacentral:rRNA from 1 species